AGUGAACGCUGGCGGUAGGCCUAACACAUGCAAGUCGAACGGCAGCACAGUAAGAGCUUGCUCUUACGGGUGGCGAGUGGCGGACGGGUGAGGAAUACAUCGGAAUCUACUUUUUCGUGGGGGAUAACGUAGGGAAACUUACGCUAAUACCGCAUACGACCUACGGGUGAAAGCAGUGGAUCUUCGGACCUUGCGCGAUUGAAUGAGCCGAUGUCGGAUUAGCUAGUUGGCGGGGUAAAGGCCCACCAAGGCGACGAUCCGUAGCUGGUCUGAGAGGAUGAUCAGCCACACUGGGACUGGGACACGGUCCAGACUCCUACGGGAGGCAGCAGUGGGGAAUAUUGGGCAAUGGGCGAAAGCCUGAUCCAGCCACACCGCGUGGGUGAAGAAGGCCUUCGGGUUGUAAAGCCCUUUUGUUGGGGAAGAAAAGCAGCAGGUUAAUACCCCGCUGUUCUGACGGUACCCAAAGAAUAAGCACCGGCUAACUUCGUG
rnacentral:rRNA from 1 species